rnacentral:rRNA from 1 species
CACGUAGGGGACGAGCGUUGUCCGGAUUCAUUGGGCGUAAAGCGCGCGUAGGCGGCUCGGAAAGUCGGUCGUGAAAUGCCGGGGCUCAACCCCGGGACUGCGUCCGAUACUCCCGAGCUGGAGGCAGGUAGGAGAGUGGAAUUCCUGGUGUAGCGGUGAAAUGCGCAGAUAUCAGGAAGAACACCCGUGGCGAAGGCGGCUCUCUGGGACGGUACUGACGCUGAGACGCGAAAGCGUGGGGAGCGAACAGG